rfam:Fukomys damarensis contig127641, whole genome shotgun sequence.
AGCUUUGUGCAAUGGCAGUAUCGCAGCCAAUGAGGUUUCUCUGAGAUGUGAUUAUUGCUAAUUGAAAACUUAAAAUAUGCAUUUUAUAUUAUGUGGCAUAAAAUAGAGAAUAUAAGACCUUGAAUAACAUAGUUUA